AUUGAACGCUGGCGGCACGCUUUACACAUGCAAGUCGAACGGCAGCGCGGGCUUCGGCCUGGCGGCGAGUGGCGAACGGGUGAGUAAUUCAUCGGAACGUGCCCAGUAGUGGGGGAUAGCUCGGCGAAAGCCGGAUUAAUACCGCAUACGACCUGAGGGUGAAAGCGGGGGAUCUUCGGACCUCGCGCUAUUGGAGCGGCCGAUGGCGGAUUAGCUAGUUGGUGGGGUAAAGGCCUACCAAGGCGACGAUCUGUAGCUGGUCUGAGAGGACGACCAGCCACACUGGAACUGAGACACGGCCCAGACUCCUACGGGAGGCAGCAGUGGGGAAUUUUGGACAAUGGGCGAAAGCCUGAUCCAGCAAUGCCGCGUGUGUGAUGAAGGCCUUCGGGUUGUAAAGCACUUUUGGCGGGAACGAAAAGGACUGUGCCAAUACCACGGUUCGAUGACGGUACCCGCAGAAUAAGCACCGGCUAACUACGUG
rnacentral:rRNA from 1 species